rnacentral:lncRNA from 1 species
GGGGGGAGGCCCCCUUUUUAUAGAUACAUGGAGUAAAUCAUGGCCAUCGGAUUAAAAACAGUUUGGACGCUCAGGAUUGCACCACGUCAUCAGUCAACAGUCCACGGUUUGACCACGCGGAUGAACAGUAACACGGUUUGACCCGACUUUGAACAGUAACGCGGUUUGACCCGGAUGAACAGUAACGCGGUUUGGUUGAAAAUAAUCCUGUGUGAUGCAUGCACCGUACGCGAGAUUUUUCGUCCACUGAUAUGCUGCCACGUCACCAUCAACAGUACAUAAGAAUUUUAGUCCAACAGGAUCAUGACACCUCAUCAGUCAAUGCCACAUCAUCGGUCAAUGCCACGUCAUCAUCCGUCUAUGUGAACAGUGUCGUGAACAGUAACGUAUACAGUACCGUACACGUGAAUAGUACCGUACAUGUGAAUAGUGCCAUUUUUCCUUUUAUGCUCCUCCUA